UCUAGAGCACACUUAGUGCCUUUCACCUUAGGCAUUACCCCACUGUUAGAAGUUGGAAUAAGGGGGCUGUAAGAAGGGGUUUGAGUUGGAAAAAGCACUAUUGGACCAGGUAAGUGGAUUAAAUCAUCCUUGUGCCCAUAGUUUUGAGGCACGUUGACGUAAGAAGUGAUUACAUGUUAGGAGAAUCAUGCACUGUUUUCACAGAUUGAAGCCUUAUUGCUUGAUGCGUUUUAGUAUUGUAAAUGACUCUGCGAC
rnacentral:lncRNA from 1 species